AAGUCGUAACAAGGUUUCCGUAGGUGAACCUGCGGAAGGAUCAUUACCGAGAGUGACGGACGCCGGCGGCGCCGUCCCGGGGGUCCCGCCCCCGACCUCUUCAACCCUGUGAAUAUUUGCCCUUGUUGCUUCGGCGAGCGCCGAGGCCUUUCGCGCCUCGGCCCCGGCUCCGGCCGGUGAGCUCUCGCCCGAGGCCCUCUCCAUUCGGCUCUACAGUGACGUCCGAGGAUUUGCAAUCAAUAUCAAAACUUUCAACAACGGAUCUCUUGGUUCUG
rnacentral:misc_RNA from 1 species